AUUGAACGCUGGCGGCAGGCCUAACACAUGCAAGUCGAGCGGAUGAAGGGAGCUUGCUCCUGGAUUCAGCGGCGGACGGGUGAGUAAUGCCUAGGAAUCUGCCUGGUAGUGGGGGAUAACGUCCGGAAACGGGCGCUAAUACCGCAUACGUCCUGAGGGAGAAAGUGGGGGAUCUUCGGACCUCACGCUAUCAGAUGAGCCUAGGUCGGAUUAGCUAGUUGGUGGGGUAAAGGCCUACCAAGGCGACGAUCCGUAACGGGUCUGAGAGGAUGAUCAGUCACACUGGAACUGAGACACGGUCCAGACUCCUAAGGGAGGCAGCAGUGGGGAAUAUUAGACAAUGGGCGAAAGCCUGAUCCAGCCAUGCCGCGUGUGUGAAGAAGGUCUUCGGAUUGUAAAGCACUUUAAGUUGGGAGGAAGGACAGUAAGUUAAUACCUUGCUGUUUUGACGGUACCAACAGAAUAAGCACCGGCUAACUUCGUG
rnacentral:rRNA from 1 species